rnacentral:rRNA from 1 species
GACGAACGCUGGCGGCGUGCUUAACACAUACAAGUCGAACGGCAGCACGGGAGCAAUCCUGGUGGCGAGUGGCGAACGGGUGAGUAAUAUAUCGGAACGUGCCCAGUCGUGGGGGAUAACGUAGCGAAAGCUACGCUAAUACCGCAUACGAUCUAUGGAUGAAAGCGGGGGAUCGCAAGACCUCGCGCGAUUGGAGCGGCCGAUAUCAGAUUAGGUAGUUGGUGAGGUAAAGGCUCACCAAGCCGACGAUCGGUAGCCGGCCUGAGAGGGCGGACGGCCACACUGGAACUGGGACACGGUCCAGACUCCUACGGGAGGCAGCAGUGGGGAAUUGUUCACAAUGGGCGCAAGCCUGAUGACGCAACGCCGCGUGGGGGAUGAAGGUCUUCGGAUCGUAAACCCCUGUCGAACGGGACGAAAGACUCUGGAGCUAAUCAUCCGGAGAGUGACGGUACCGUUAAAGGAAGCCACGGCUAACUCUGUGCCAGCCGCCGCUGUAACAC